rnacentral:rRNA from 1 species
UACGUAGGGCGCAAGCGUUAUCCGGAAUUAUUGGGCGUAAAGAGCUCGUAGGCGGUUUGUCGCGUCUGCUGUGAAAGACCGGGGCUCAACUCCGGUUCUGCAGUGGGUACGGGCAGACUAGAGUGAUGUAGGGGAGACUGGAAUUCCUGGUGUAGCGGUGAAAUGCGUAGAUAUCUGGAGGAACACCGGUGGCGAAGGCGGCAUCCUGGACCAACACUGACGCUGAGGAGCGAAAGCCAGGGGAGCAAACGGG